rnacentral:rRNA from 1 species
GACGAACGCUGGCGGCGUGCUUAACACAUGCAAGUCGAACGAUGAUGCUGGAGCUUGCUCCAGUUGAUUAGUGGCGAACGGGUGAGUAACACGUGAGCAAUCUGCCCUUGACUCUGGGAUAACUGCGGGAAACUGUAGCUAAUACCGGAUACUUUCACCGGAAGGCAUCUUCUGGUGAUGAAAGAAUUUCGGUCAGGGAUGAGCUCGCGGCCUAUCAGCUUGUUGGUGAGGUAACGGCUCACCAAGGCGACGACGGGUAACCGGCCUGAGAGGGUGACCGGUCACACUGGGACUGAGACACGGCCCAGACUCCUGCGGGAGGCAGCAGUGGGGAAUAUUGCACAAUGGGCGCAAGCCUGAUGCAGCAACGCCGCGUGAGGGAUGAAGGCCUUCGGGUUGUAAACCUCUUUUAGCAGGGAAGAAGCGAAAGUGACGGUACCUGCAGAAAAAGCACCGGCUAACUACGUGCCAGCCGCCGCUGUAA